CGAGAGGGUGCAAGCGUUGUUCGGAAGUUAUUGGGCGUAAAGCGCGUGUAGGCGGCUUGGCAAGUCAGAUGUGAAAGCCCUCGGCUUAACCGAGGAAGUGCGUCUGAAACUGCUGAGCUUGAGUGUCGGAGAGGAUGGCGGAAUUCCGCAAGUAGAGGUGAAAUUCGUAGAUAUGCGGAGGAACACCGGUGGCGAAGGCGGCCAUCUGGACGACUACUGACGCUGAGACGCGAAAGCGUGGGGAGCAAACAGGAUUAGAUACCCUGGUAGUCCACGCUGUAAACGAUGAGAACUAGGUGUCGUGGGUGUUGACCCCCGCGGUGCCGCAGCUAACGCAUUAAGUUCUCCGCCUGGGAAGUACGGCCGCAAGGCUA
rnacentral:rRNA from 1 species